GUGCCUGGUUCGGCAGCACAUAUGCUAAAAUUAGAACGAUACGGAGAAGAUUUGCAUGGCCCCUGUGCAAGGAUGAUGCACGAAUUCAUGAAGCGUUCCAUAUUUUU